rnacentral:rRNA from 1 species
UACGGAGGGUGCGAGCGUUGUCCGGAAUCACUGGGCGUAAAGGGCGCGUAGGCGGCCUGAUAAGUAGGGGGUGAAAUCCUGCGGCUUAACCGCAGGGCCGCCUUCUAAACUGUCAGGCUUGAGCACAGUAGAGGCAGGUGGAAUUCCCGGUGUAGCGGUGGAAUGCGUAGAGAUCGGGAAGAACAUCAGUGGCGAAGGCGGCCUGCUGGGCUGUUGCUGACGCUGAGGCGCGACAGCGUGGGGAGCAAACAGG